rnacentral:rRNA from 1 species
CAGUAGCCGCGGUAAUACGGAGGGUGCAAGCGUUAAUCGGAAUUACUGGGCGUAAAGCGCACGCAGGCGGUCUGUCAAGUCGGAUGUGAAAUCCCCGGGCUCAACCUGGGAACUGCAUUCGAAACUGGCAGGCUAGAGUCUUGUAGAGGGGGGUAGAAUUCCAGGUGUAGCGGUGAAAUGCGUAGAGAUCUGGAGGAAUACCGGUGGCGAAGGCGGCCCCCUGGACAAAGACUGACGCUCAGGUGCGAAAGCGUGGGGAGCAAACAGGAUUAGAUACCCCUGUAGUCCCUGUCUCUUAUAC